CAGGAUGGGUAAAUGUACCUACCAGUUGUACAUGGAAAUAAUGGUAGUAACAAGAAAUUCUUGAUAGGAUUCAGUUUGUCUGGUUAUGCUGGUUUGUGAUGACAACUACUGUACAGUAUAUAAUAAAUGUUCAUUUUUUGUUCAACAAUAAAUGUGAAUUCUUCUUCAUGGAAAAAUAAGACAUCCCCUGAAAAUAAGACCUAGCGCAUCUUUGGGAGCAAAAAUUAAUAUAAGACACUGUCUUAUUUUCAGGGAAACAUGGUAGUAAGUGAAGCAUGUCUAUACAGAAUGCAUGACAGGAUUGGGAAAGGCAGACGGUUGAGCCAUGCGCAACAGCGGCGACGUUGUUUAUGAGAGCCAUGCGUUGGGAAAUUCCGGUUUUGACAUGAUGUGCAAAUGUCUUUCCGGUUUCGGGUAAAGAGAAAAGGGUUUCCUGAUAAAAGCCCAAAGCCAAGAGCUGGAAGGCUGCCUUAGAGACAGCUCGAAGAAGCAUCGGAAGCAUCUUUCUCUGUGCGCAGAGGGAUCAGAAACCAUGGGAAGGUUCUGGCUGGUGUUUUUGGCAAGCUAUCUCUUCCUGGUGGCUACCAAAGGGCCACGGUCAGUGGAAACCAGUCCAGUUUCGGCCACGGCUCCCGUGUUGGAGAAAACGGCAUCCGACCAUCCAGCUGAUGCCAAUGAAGUCAUGUCGGUGCCAAGAUCAAGGAUCUCCAAGGCCUGGUGGAAGAAGUGGAGAAUGGAAAGCAAGAAGGGAGCAACAAAGGGACCUCCGAAGAUUGGGCAAUACUCUCCUAUGGCUGGUGGUGGAACCACAGGAGACCAUAGCAUCCAGGCAUAGCAAUGAGAAUGAUGUCAAACUGCAUCGAUUUGACAAAAUGGAAUCGAAAUGGAGUUAAGUCUGGAUAUGGUAUAGUUUGUGUGUAAAGCUCCCCCUCUUCUUGCAGGCAGCUCUGGAUGAUAAACACAAGUGUCCAUAAUUGAGCACUGCCAGUCUGUGAAUAUUUUGAUAAUAUUUGACAAAUAACUUCAGUGGCCAGAGGUUAUGGAUAUCUUUGCUGUACUUAUAGUUUUAUUUGAUAUGUUAAUUGGGUUUUUUAAUAUGAUGUUUCAAUUGAUUAUGCAUUGUGGUCGGAUGUAUUUGUAUAAAUUAAUUGUUAAUGUGGGAUUUGUGUAUUCAUAGUGUUUAAAUGCAAUUUGUGCCGUGCUUGUAUUGCAACUGAUUGCAUCAUCCAGAUUGUACCAUUAUGUGGAAAGAGUUAAUUGCCAAGAAGCUAUGAUGACCUUGAUGCGUGGCUGGAACUAGGGAGUAUCCAGACACAAGUGUUUGUGCAUAACGAUUGCAUUAGUUCAGUUCAGUUGAGUUCUGUCUGCCUAGAGUUCGAGUCAAGUUCUGUCGGAGAACAGAGCAGUCCUGUGUUCAUCUGUUGUCUGCAAGUCUGUUUGUGUUGAUUGUUGUUGCAUACAGUAAAACUUUGUAAAUAGUUUUA